GACGAACGCUGGCGGCGUGCUUAACACAUGCAAGUCGAACGAAGAGCGAUGGAAGCUUGCUUCUAUCAAUCUUAGUGGCGAACGGGUGAGUAACGCGUAAUCAACCUGCCCUUCAGAGGGGGACAACAGUUGGAAACGACUGCUAAUACCGCAUACGAUCUAAUCUCGGCAUCGAGGAUAGAUGAAAGGUGGCCUCUACAUGUAAGCUAUCACUGAAGGAGGGGAUUGCGUCGGAUUAGCUAGUUGGAGGGGUAACGGCGCACCAAGGCGAUGAUCAGUAGCCGGUCUGAGAGGAUGAACGGCCACAUUGGGACUGAGACACGGCCCAGACUCCUACGGGAGGCAGCAGUGGGGAAUCUUCCGCAAUGGACGAAAGUCUGACGGAGCAACGCCGCGUGAGUGAUGACGGCCGUCGGGUUGUAAAGCUCGGUUAAUCGGGACGAAAGGCCUUCUUGCGAAUAGUGAGAAGGAUUGACGGUACCGGAAUAGAAAGCCACGGCUAACUACGUG
rnacentral:rRNA from 1 species